rnacentral:rRNA from 1 species
CAGCCGCCGCGGUAAUACGAAGGGGGCUAGCGUUGCUCGGAAUUACUGGGCGUAAAGGGCGCGUAGGCGGAUAGUUUAGUCAGAGGUGAAAGCCCAGGGCUCAACCUUGGAAUUGCCUUUGAUACUGGCUAUCUUGAGUUCGGGAGAGGUGAGUGGAAUGCCGGGUGUAGAGGUGAAAUUCGUAGAUAUUCGGCGGAACACCAGUGGCGAAGGCGACUCACUGGCCCGAUACUGACGCUGAGGCGCGAAAGCGUGGGGAGCAAACAGGAUUAGAUACCCGUGUAGUCCCUGUCUCUUAUAC